UUGUCUGAACCUUCGGGGAACGACAACGGCGUCGAGCGGCGGACGGGUGAGUAAUGCCUGGGAAAUUGCCCUGAUGUGGGGGAUAACCAUUGGAAACGAUGGCUAAUACCGCAUAAUAGCUUCGGCUCAAAGAGGGGGACCUUCGGGCCUCUCGCGUCAGGAUAUGCCCAGGUGGGAUUAGCUAGUUGGUGAGGUAAUGGCUCACCAAGGCGACGAUCCCUAGCUGGUCUGAGAGGAUGAUCAGCCACACUGGAACUGAGACACGGUCCAGACUCCUACGGGAGGCAGCAGUGGGGAAUAUUGCACAAUGGGCGCAAGCCUGAUGCAGCCAUGCCGCGUGUAUGAAGAAGGCCUUCGGGUUGUAAAGUACUUUCAGCAGUGAGGAAGGUGGUAGUGUUAAUAGCACUAUCAUUUGACGUUAGCUGCAGAAGAAGCACCGGCUAACUCCGUGCCAGCAGCCGCGGUAAUACGGAGGGUGCGAGCGUUAAUCGGAAUUACUGGGCGUAAAGCGCAUGCAGGUGGUUUGUUAAGUCAGAUGUGAAAGCCCGGGGCUCAACCUCGGAAUUGCAUUUGAAACUGGCAGACUAGAGUACUGUAGAGGGGGGUAGAAUUUCAAGUGUAAGCGCGUGAAAUGCGUAGAGAACUGAAGGAAUACCGGUGGCGAAGGCGGCCCCCCGGACAGAUACUGACAAUCAGAUGCGAAAGCGUGGGGAGCAAACAAGAUUAGAUACCCUGGUAGUCCACGCCGUAAACGAUGUCUACUUGGAGGUUGUGGCCCUGAACCGUGGCUUUCGGAGCUAACGCGUUAAGUAGACCGCCUGGGGAGUACGGUUGCAAGAUUAAAACUCAAAUGAAUUGACGGGGGCCCGCACCAGCGGUGGAGCCUGUGGUUUAAUUUGAUGCAACGCGAAGAACCUUACCUACUUUUGACAUCCAUAGAAAUCCUCAGAGAUGAAAGGGUGCCUUUGGGAACUUUGAGACCGGUGGUGCAUGGCUGUUGUCAGCUUGUGUUGUGAAAUGUUGGGUUAAGUUCCGCAACGAGCGCAACCCUUAUCCUUGUUUGCCAGCGAGUAAUGUCGGGAACUCCAGGGAGACUGCCGGUGAUAAACCGGAGGAAGGUGGGGACGACGUCAAGUCAUCAUGGCCCUUACGAGUAGGGCUACACACGUGCUACAAUGGCGCAUACAGAGGGCAGCCAACUUGCGAAAGUGAGCGAAUCCCAAAAAGUGCGUCGUAGUCCGGAUUGGAGUCUGCAACUCGACUCCAUGAAGUCGGAAUCGCUAGUAAUCGUAGAUCAGAAUGCUACGGUGAAUACGUUCCCGGGCCUUGUACACACCGCCCGUCACACCAU
rnacentral:rRNA from 1 species